CUGCGGAAGGAUCAUUACUGAGAGGUUACUAAGACUCUUGGGUUGAGUUUCUUUACUCUUCUCUUGAGUUUCCUCACGGUUUUGUGCAAUGUUGGGUCACCUUGGUUGACUCUGCCCUAAGUUAUUGGGCUGGCCUUUGGGGCCCCUAGUAUGAUUUAUCAUACUAACCCCAGAGGUUAAUUUCUACUAUGUCUAUGAAUUGAUGUAUGAAAAAAGUUAUUUGUUAACUUGAAGGCUUUUGCUGUAAAAAGUGAGUCUUUAAAAACAACUCUUGGCAAUGGAUCUCUUGGUUCUCGCAUCGAUGAAGAGCGUAGCAAAGUGCGAUAAUUAUUGCGACUUGCAUUCAUAGUGAAUCAUCGAGUUCUUGAACGCAUCUUGCGCCUAGUAGUCAAUCUACUAGGCACAGUUGUUUCAGUAUCUGCAUCCACCAAUCAACACGACUUGCUUGUGUUGGAACUGGGCUUACUUUUGAUGGCAUUUAGUUGCUGUCAUGGCCUUAAAUGUAUUUAGUCCUAGGUGUUAACUUGUUAAUGCCGGAUGGAGACUCUAGAGUGCCUUAGAAGCAGCUUGGUUAGUGAGUUCAUAAUUCCAAGUGUUAGUCUUUUAUUGAACUGGGUUUCUAGUCUAUGGGACAUGGAGUCGUAAGACUCUUAAACAACAAACUCACAUUUAGAUCUGAAAUCAACUGAGACCACCCGCUGAACUUAGCAAC
rnacentral:rRNA from 1 species